rnacentral:lncRNA from 1 species
AAGGCUAUAGCCCACCCGUUUUUGUGGCCUUUUUCCGCUGGACGAACUUGGCGCCCCGGCCUUCGGGUGGUUAUUUUUGGGUGCAGCCUAGUGCGCGGCCUAUUUUUGGCACACGGAGGCCCCUCGCAAAGUCUCGCGGCAUUCCGAGUCCGGCGGACGAAGUUGGCCAGCCCCACCCCCCAAGGCUAUAGCCCACCCGUUUUUGUGGCUUUUUUCCGCUGGACGAACUUGGCGCCCCGGCCUUCGGGCGGUUAUUUUUGGCCGCGGCUUCGUCCGUGGCCUAUUUUUGGCACACGGAGGCCCCCCGCAAACUCUCCCGGCAUUCCGAGUCCGGCGGACGAAGUCGGCCAGCUUCACCACCCAGGCUGUUGCCCACCCCUUUUUGUGGCCUUUUUCCGCUGGACGAACUUGGCGCCCCAGCCUUUGGGCUGUUAUUUAUGGGUGCGGCUUUGUCUACGGCCUAUUUUUGGCAGACGCAGGCCCCUCGCAAAGUCUCGCGGCAUUCCGAGUCCGGCGGACGAAGUCGGCCAGCCCCACCCCCCAAGGCUAUAGCCCACCCGUUUUUGUGGCCUUUUUCCGCUGGACGAACUUGGCGCCCCGGCCUUCGGGCGGUUUUUUUCUGGUGCGGUUUUGCCCGCGGCCUAUUUUUGGCACUUGGAGGCCCCUCGUAAAGUCUCGCGGCAUUCCGAGUCCGGCGGAAGAAGUUGGCCAGCCCCACCCUCCAAGGCUAUAGCCCACCCGUUUUUGUGGCCUUUUUCCGCUGGACGAACUUGGGGCCCCGGCCUUCGGGCGGUUAUUUUUGGGCACGGCUUUGCCCGCGGCCUAUUUUUGGCAAAUGGAGGCCCCUCGCAAAGUCUCGCGGCAUUCCGAGUCCGGCGGAAGAAGUUGGCCAGCCCCACCCCCCAAGGCUAUAGCCCACCCGUUUUUGUGGCCUUUUUCGGCUGGUCAAAAUUGGCGGCCCGGCCUUCGGGUGGUUACUCUUGGGCGCGGCUUUGUCCCCGGCCUGUUUUUGGCACAUGGAGGCCCCUCCAAAAGUCUCUCGGCAUUCCGAGUCCGGCGGACGAAGUAG